AACACAUGCAAGUCGAACGCUGAAGCCCGAGCUUGCUGGGGUGGAUGUGUGGCGAUCGGGUGAGUAACACGUGAGUAACCUUCCCUUGACUCUGGGAUAAGCCCGGGAAACUGGGUCUAAUACCGGAUACGACCUCCUGCCGCAUGGUGUGGGGGUGGAAAGAUUUAUCGGUUUUGGAUGGACUCGCGGCCUAUCAGCUUGUUGGUGAGGUAAUGGCUCACCAAGGCGACGACGGGUAGCCGGCCUGAGAGGGUGACCGGCCACACUGGGACUGAGACACGGCCCAGACUCCUACGGGAGGCAGCAGUGGGGAAUAUUGCACAAUGGGCGCAAGCCUGAUGCAGCGACGCCGCGUGAGGGAUGACGGCCUUCGGGUUGUAAACCUCUUUCAGUAGGGAAGAAGCGAAAGUGACGGUACCUGCAGAAGAAGCGCCGGCUAACUACGUGCCAGCAGCCGCGGUAAUACGUAGGGCGCGAGCGUUAUCCGGAAUUAUUGGGCGUAAAGAGCUCGUAGGCGGUUUGUCGCGUCUGCCGUGAAAGUCCGGGGCUUAACCCCGGAUCUGCGGUGGGUACGGGCAGACUAGAGUGCAGUAGGGGAGACUGGAAUUCCUGGUGUAGCGGUGAAAUGCGCAGAUAUCAGGAGGAACACCGAUGGCGAAGGCAGGUCUCUGGGCUGUUACUGACGCUGAGGAGCGAAAGCAUGGGGAGCGAACAGGAU
rnacentral:rRNA from 1 species